GGAGUAUGUAUUGGCACUGAGCAUACUCC
rnacentral:misc_RNA from 1 species